rnacentral:rRNA from 1 species
CAAUAAGCGGAGGAAAAGAAACCAACAGGGAUUGCCCCAGUAACGGCGAGUGAAGCGGCAAAAGCUCAAAUUUGAAAUCUGGCCUCCUCCGGGGGUCCGAGUUGUAAUUUGUAGAGGAKGCUUCGGGUGUGGCCGCCGUCUAAGUUCCUUGGAACAGGACGUCAGAGAGGGUGAGARUCCCGUCUUGGGCGGCCGGCCCGCGCCCGUGUGAAGCUCCUUCGACGAGUCGAGUUGUUUGGGAAUGCAGCUCUAAGCGGGUGGUAAAUUUCAUCUAAAGCUAAAUACUGGUCGGAGACCGAUAGCGCACAAGUAGAGUGAUCGAAAGGUUAAAAGCACCUUGAAAAGGGAGUUAAACAGCACGUGAAAUUGUUGAAAGGGAAGCGCUUGCGGCCAGACUCGGGGGCGGGGUUCAGCGGGCGCUCGUCGCCCGUGCACUCCCCGUCUCCCGGGCCAGCAUCAGUUUCGACGGCCGGUCAAAGGCCCCCGGAAUGUGUCGUCUCUCGGGACGUCUUAUAGCCGGGGGUGCAAUGCGGCCCGUCGGGACUGAGGAACGCGCUUCGGCUCGGAUGCUGGCGUAAUGGCCGUAAGCGGCCCGUCUUGAAACACGGACCAAGGAGUCUAACAUCCACGCGAGUGUUCGGGUGUCAAACCCGUGCGCGCAGUGAAAGCGAACGGAGGUGGGAGCCUUAGGGCGCACCAUCGACCGAUCCUGAAGUCUUCGGAUGGAUUUGAGUAGGAGCGUGGCCGUUGGGACCCGAAAGAUGGUGAACUAUGCCUGAAUAGGGUGAAGCCAGAGGAAACUCUGGUGGAGGCUCGCAGCGGUUCUGACGUGCAAAUCGAUCGUCAAAUUUGGGCAUAGGGGCGAAAGACUAAUCGAACCAUCUAGUAGCUGGUCUGC